CAGCUCAUUUUGGCAGCCCAUACACUACAAUUGGAAAGACACAGAGAAGAUGAGCCCGGCCCCUGUAUGAUGAUGACACUCAAAUUGGUGAAGUGUUCCAUAUUUAG